rnacentral:rRNA from 1 species
UCAGGAUGAACGCUGGCGGCGUGCCUAAUACAUGCAAGUCGAACGCGAGACGAGGGAGCUUGCUCCCUCCGAUCGAGUGGCGGACGGGUGAGUAACACGUAGGCAACCUGCCCAUCAGCCGGGGGAUAACUGCGGGAAACCGUGGCUAAUACCGGAUAAACCUUUCCUCCGCGGGAGGGGAGUUGAAAGACGGUUUCGGCUGUCGCUGAUGGAUGGGCCUGCGGCGCAUUAGCUGGUUGGUGGGGUAACGGCCCACCAAGGCGACGAUGCGUAGCCGACCUGAGAGGGUGAUCGGCCACACUGGGACUGAGACACGGCCCAGACUCCUACGGGAGGCAGCAGUAGGGAAUCUUCCGCAAUGGACGCAAGUCUGACGGAGCAACGCCGCGUGAGUGCAGAAGGGUUUCGGCUCGUAAAACUCUGUUGUUAGGGAGGAAUGACAGGUAGAGUAACUGCUACCUGUGUGACGGUACUUAACCAGAAAGCCACGGCUAACUACGUGCCAGCCGCGGC